AAUAAAGUAAGCUAAAAUUUAAGCUAUUGGGUUCAUACCCCAAAAAUUGUNGCAUUUUCCUUUAUUA
rnacentral:tRNA from 1 species